rnacentral:rRNA from 1 species
GCUCAGCCAUAAAACUUGGACAAAUACAACAUUUUCCCCGCCAGAGUAUUACGAGCAACAGCUUAAAACCCAAAGGACUUGGCGGUGUCCUAAAUCCAUCCAGAGGAGCCUGUUCUAUAAUCGAUAAUCCACGUUUAACCUCACCACCAUUUGCUAAUUCAGCUUAUAUACCACCGUCAUUAGCCUACCUUAUUGAAAGAAUUAAAGUAAGCAAGAACGAAUUUACCAAAUACGCCAGGUCAAGGUGUAGCAUAUAUGGUGGAAAGAAAUGGGCUACAUUUUCUUAAAAAGAAUAUACUACGAAUAACAAAAUGAAAUUAUGUUUAAAGGCGGAUUUGGUAGUAAGAAAAGACAAUAAUACUUAUCUUAAAUUGGCCCUAGGACACGC